CCUACGGGAGGCAGCAGUGAGGAAUAUUGGUCAAUGGACGAGAGUCUGACCCAGCCAAGUCGCGUGAAGGAUGAAUGCCCUAUGGGUUGUAAACUUCUUUUAUAUGGGAAUAAAAUGUUCCACGUGUGGGAUUUUGUCUGUACCUUAUGAAUAAGGAUCGGCUAACUCCGUGCCAGCAGCCGCGGUACUACGGAGGAUCCGAACGUUCUCCGGAUUUAUUGGGUUUAAAGGGAGCGUAGGUGGAUUGUUAAGUCAGUUGUGAAAGUUUGCGGCUCAACCGUAAAAUUGCAGUUGAAACUGGCAGUCUUGAGUACAGUAGAGGUGGGCGGAAUUCGUGGUGUAGCGGUGAAAUGCUUAGAUAUCACGAAGAACUCCGAUUGCGAAGGCAGUUCACUGGACUGCAACUGACACUGAGGCUCGAAAGUGUGGGUAGCAAACAGGAUUAGAUACCCUUGUAGUC
rnacentral:rRNA from 1 species